rnacentral:rRNA from 1 species
GACGGAAGGUGCAAGCGUUGCUCGGAAUUACUGGGCGUAAAGGGCUCGUAGGCGGCCAACUAAGUCGGAUGUGAAAUCCCCAGGCUCAACCUGGGAACUGCAUCCGAUACUGGAUGGCUUGAAUUCGGGAGAGGGAUGCAGAAUUCCAGGUGUAGCGGUGAAAUGCGUAGAUAUCUGGAGGAAUACCGGUGGCGAAGGCGGCAUCCUGGACCGACAUUGACGCUGAGGAGCGAAAGCCAGGGGAGCGAACGGG